GCUUGAGAGGACAGUUUAUUGAAAUGUUGAAAACCUUCUCUUAACAAACUUCAAGGAUGGCUCCAAAUUCAUAGUUGUUGAAGAUUUGAGAAUUCAUGCAGUCUACAAAAUGGUUGCAAUCUGAGUAGGGCAUGAUGGAGAUUUUGUUUGGAUAUCCAAUUGAUAGUUGUUUGGAAAGCUAUUGCUUCUGCUUCCUGUGGUAGCGGAUUGCCUAUAAACCAGGUUGUCUUUGCUGAUUGGAAAUGACCCUG
rnacentral:lncRNA from 1 species